UCACCCUGGUUAGAGUGAAAGCAUCAGGCCAUCAUGCCCGCUGACAAGAGCUACGCGCUGAAGCAGGUGCAGACCUUCGGCAAGAAGAAGACGGCAAUCGCCGUGGCCACGGUCACCAAGGCUGCCCAGUGCAACAUCAAGGUGAACGGUGUGCCGCUGCAGCAGAUCCUGCCCGAUACGCUGCGCGCGAAGAUCAUGGAGGCCAUCACCGUGGUGGGACCCAAGUACUACUCGCGGCUGCGCAUCGAUGUGGCGGUGCACGGUGGCGGUCAGGUGUCGCAGGCGUACGCCGCGCGCCAGGCGAUCGCGAAGGGCCUUAUUGCGUUCUUUCAGAAGUACCACAACGAGGUGGAGAAGGCCGCGCUGAAGGACAAGUUCCUGGCGUACGACAAGUUCCUGCUCAUCGCCGAUCCCCGCCGCUGCGAGCCGAAGAAGUGGGGUCGCCACUCUGCCCGCACGCGCUUCACCAAGUCCUACCGGUAAGCUCAUGCGAGUCUGGGGGUCGCAUGCGCGUGCGCAUGUGCAUGUGCCUGGCUGCUUGCUCGUGUGCGGCUGAUCUGUCGAUGCUGCACGGACAGGGCACAACGCAUUGCGACUGGCGCACACACAUGCACCUCGCACGCUGCUUAGGAUGAGGGGAAAUCGUACAUGGUAGUCAUCGCGUCUGGGCUUUUGUAUGUGUCUGUGCGCGUGCGCGUGCAUGUGCCAUCGGAUCCGUGUCUUGUUAGCCGUGACCUGGAUGUACCGCUCCGCAUCCCGUCUCCGCACAGACAGUCAACUGGGUGCCACCCGCAGACCAUCAUUCAGUCGGUUGCGUACGGGUUCUUCGUUAUUUUACUUUCCCUGACAUGAUUUUGUUCCGUACAUAAGCACAUCACACAGCCUAUACACACACACACACACACACACACCUACACGCCUGAUGUACGUGUGUGUGUGUGUGUGUGUGACGGAGGCGUGCGCUGACCUAUGCGCCAGUGACUCCGUGCAGUAUGCGCCAUCCUUUUCGUGAUUCUUAUCGUUCUCCUCUUCGGCAUUUGUGCCGCGGUGGGCAGCGGAUAGGGUUAUGCGGACGCGGUGGUUGUGGUAGAGAGAGAGAGACGGGUGUGGAGAUAACACGCAGAGAGAGUGUGUGUGGGCUGGAGGUGUUGGAGUUUAGCUGCCGUGGUGCGCGGCCGUGUUCGUCCCUCACUGUUCAUGAUAUCGAAGACUCGUGGUGUUUUCCCGCCUCGUCCCUCUGCACCUCUCCGGCUAACUCGCUUCCCUCUAGUUACUGGCACGGGCUGCGUGUGGGGAGGCUGCGCACCCAGCCCCCACUUCACGUAACCCGGCUGCCUCUUCCCACGUUAUUCUGAUGCCUCUUUCCCUCACGCUGCGGACUGCUGACCCGCCUGUAGCACUUCUUCUUUCGCCUCUCCUCCCGCCUCCUCCAUCGAUUCACGCGACCAACGCGAUCGUCUCUUUGCCUUUCUCUGCAUCGCUUGCUGGGCGCGCUCUUAAUCACACACUAACGCGCCAAUAUGCACAUGCAUAUCCUUUCUUGCAUCUCCAACUCAG
rnacentral:misc_RNA from 1 species